UACGUAGGGUGCAAGCGUUGUCCGGAAUUAUUGGGCGUAAAGAGCUCGUAGGCGGUCUGUCGCGUCGGACGUGAAAAUCCAGGGCUCAACCCUGGACCUGCGUUCGAUACGGGCAGACUAGAGUUCGGUAGGGGAGACUGGAAUUCCUGGUGUAGCGGUGAAAUGCGCAGAUAUCAGGAGGAACACCGGUGGCGAAGGCGGGAUCCUGGGCCAGUACUGACGCUGAGGAGCGAAAGCGUGGGGAGCAAACAGG
rnacentral:rRNA from 1 species